UACAGAGGUCCCAAGCGUUGUUCGGAUUCAUUGGGCGUAAAGGGUGCGUCGGCGGCGGGGUAAGUCAGGUGUGAAAUCCCGGAGCUUAACUCCGGAACUGCACUUGAUACUGCCUUGCUCGAGUACUGGAGAGGAGACUGGAAUUUACGGUGUAGCAGUGAAAUGCGUAGAUAUCGUAAGGAAGACCAGUGGCGAAGGCGAGUCUCUGGACAGUUACUGACGCUGAGGCACGAAGGCCAGGGGAGCAAACGGG
rnacentral:rRNA from 1 species